rnacentral:tRNA from 1 species
GCCGGGGUGGCUGAGUGGCCUAAAGCGCAAGCCUGGAGAGCUUGUGUUCCUCUGGAACGCAAGGGUUCGAAUCCCUUCCUCGGCG